AUUGAACGCUGGCGGCAGGCCUAACACAUGCAAGUCGAGCGAGCGGCGGACGGGUGAGUAAUGAAUGGGGAUGUGAGUGAUGGAGGGGGAUAACUAAUGGGAGCGGUAGCCACUAACGCAUAGCAGAGGAUAAGCCCAUAUGGGAUUAGCUUGUGGGUGAGGUAACGGCUCACCUAGGCGACGAUCCCUAGCUGGUCUGAGAGGAUGAUCAGCCACACUGGAACUGAGACACGGCCCAGACUCCUACGGGAGGCAGCAGUGGGGAAUAUUGCACAAUGGGCGCAAGCCUGAUGCAGCCAUGCCGCGUGUAUGAAGAAGGCCUUCGGGUUGUAAAGUACUUUCAGUCGGGAGGCGUUACCGACAGAAUAAGCACCGGCUAACUCCGUGCCAGCAGCCGCGGUAAUUC
rnacentral:rRNA from 1 species